UACGAAGGGUGCAAGCGUUAAUCGGAAUUACUGGGCGUAAAGGGUGCGUAGGCGGUUGUUUAAGUCUGUCGUGAAAUCCCCGGGCUCAACCUGGGAAUGGCGAUGGAUACUGGGCAGCUAGAGUGUGUCAGAGGAUGGUGGAAUUCCCGGUGUAGCGGUGAAAUGCGUAGUGAUCGGGAGGAACAUCAGUGGCGAAGGCGGCCAUCUGGGACAACACUGACGCUGAAGCACGAAAGCGUGGGGAGCAAACAGG
rnacentral:rRNA from 1 species